rnacentral:rRNA from 1 species
CCUACGGUGGCUGCAGUGAGGAAUAUUGGUCAAUGGGCGAGAGCCUGAACCAGCCAAGUCGCGUGAAGGAUGACGGCCCUACGGGUUGUAAACUUCUUUUGUCAGGGAGCAAUUGAGUCCACGUGUGUUCUUAGCGAGAGUACCUGAAGAAAAAGCAUCGGCUAACUCCGUGCCAGCAGCCGCGGUAAUACGGAGGAAGCAAGCGUUAUCCGGAAUUACUGGGUGUAAAGGGAGCGUAGACGGUGAUGUAAGUCUGGAGUGAAAGGCGGGGGCCCAACCCCCGGACUGCUCUGGAAACUAUGUGACUGGAGUGCAGGAGAGGUGAGCGGAAUUCCUAGGGUAGCGGUGAAAUGCGUAGAUAUUAGGAGGAACACCAGUGGCGAAGGCGGCUCACUGGACUGUAACUGACGUUGAGGCUCGAAAGCGUGGGGAGCAAACAGGAUUAGAUACCCCGGUAGUC